CUGAGCCUGUGAUGUGCUGUUAUCCCUGUCUGACACUCAGCUUGAGGAGGAAAAUGUCCACUGAGGCUCAG
ensembl:snoRNA